AAUCCCGGCUCCGCCACUUGUCUGCUGUGUGACCUUGGCACCGGGCCGACGGUCCGACCCUAGCGAGGAUGCCGUGACGGAUGCCUGUCUGGACGCCCCGUCGGACGGCGAGAUGGAGGGGGCCCGGCCGCGACCUUUGACCCCUCCUGCCCCCGAUUGUCCCCAUUUUGAACCGGGCCGUCUCUUAGACACCCCCGUCGGGGGAGACCCGGCCAGCGGGGAGACCUUGGUGGACGCCGGGACCCCAGAGACACGCGGGCAGGAAGCCCGGCCGGAUGAGGAGGAAGGGCCGGUGGCGGCGGACCCGAGGGGCGAGGAUGAGGAGAGCCAGGCCCGACCCGGCGGA